rnacentral:rRNA from 1 species
GGACGAACGCUGGCGGCGUGCCUACUCCAUGCAAGUUGAGCGCUGAAGGUUGGUACUUGUACCAACUGGAUGAGCAGCGAACGGGUGAGUAACGCGUGGGGAAUCUGCCUUUGAGCGGGGGACAACAUUUGGAAACGAAUGCUAAUACCGCAUAAAAACUUUAAACACAAGUUUUAAGUUUGAAAGAUGCAAUUGCAUCACUCAAAGAUGAUCCCGCGUUGUAUUAGCUAGUUGGUGAGGUAAAGGCUCACCAAGGCGAUGAUACAUAGCCGACCUGAGAGGGUGAUCGGCCACAUUGGGACUGAGACACGGCCCAAACUCCUACGGGAGGCAGCAGUAGGGAAUCUUCGGCAAUGGACGAAAGUCUGACCGAGCAACGCCGCGUGAGUGAAGAAGGUUUUCGGAUCGUAAAACUCUGUUGGUAGAGAAGAACGUUGGUGAGAGUGGAAAGCUCAUCAAGUGACGGUAACUACCCAGAAAGGGACGGCUAACUACGUG